rnacentral:rRNA from 1 species
GACGAAGGGGGCUAGCGUUGUUCGGAAUUACUGGGCGUAAAGGGCUCGUAGGUGGCCAACUAAGUCAGACGUGAAAUCCCCAGGCUUAACCUGGGAACUGCGUCUGAUACUGGAUGGCUAGAGUUUGGGAGAGGGAUGCGGAAUUCCAGGUGUAGCGGUGAAAUGCGUAGAUAUCUGGAGGAACACCGGUGGCGAAGGCGGCAUCCUGGACCAACACUGACGCUGAGGAGCGAAAGCCAGGGGAGCAAACGGG